rnacentral:piRNA from 1 species
UGAGCAGUUGUCUUUAGAUGAUGUGUAGCC